GACGAACGCUGGCGGCGUGCCUAAUACAUGCAAGUCGAGCGAAGCGGCGGACGGGUGAGUAACACGUAAGGAACCUACCGAUAAGCGGGGGACAACAUCCGGAAACGGGUGCUAAUACCGCAUACUUAUCCAUGGCCUUGGGCGGCAUUAGCUCGUUGGUGGGGUAACGGCCCACCAAGGCAAUGAUGCAUAGCCGACCUGAGAGGGUAAUCGGCCACACUGGGACUGAGACACGGCCCAAACUCCUACGGGAGGCAGCAGUAGGGAAUCUUCCGCAAUGGGCGCAAGCCUGACAGAGCAACGCCGCGUGAGUGAAGAAGGUUUUCGGAUCGUAAAGCUCUGUUGUAAGAGAAGCGGUAUCUUACCAGAAAGCCACGGCUAACUCCGUGCCAGCAGCCGCGGUAAUUC
rnacentral:rRNA from 1 species